rnacentral:rRNA from 1 species
CAUCGGAUGUGCCCAGAUGGGAUUAGCUAGUAGGUGGGGUAAAGGCUCACCUAGGCGACGAUCCCUAGCUGGUCUGAGAGGAUGACCAGCCACACUGGAACUGAGACACGGUCCAGACUCCUACGGGAGGCAGCAGUGGGGAAUAUUGCACAAUGGGCGCAAGCCUGAUGCAGCCAUGCCGCGUGUAUGAAGAAGGCCUUCGGGUUGUAAAGUACUUUCAGCGGGGAGGAAGGGAGUAAAGUUAAUACCUUUGCUCAUUGACGUUACCCGCAGAAGAAGCACCGGCUAACUCCGUGCCAGCAGCCGCGGUAAUACGGAGGGUGCAAGCGUUAAUCGGAAUUACUGGGCGUAAAGCGCACGCAGGCGGUUUGUUAAGUCAGAUGUGAAAUCCCCGGGCUCAACCUGGGAACUGCAUCUGAUACUGGCAAGCUUGAGUCUCGUAGAGGGGGGUAGAAUUCCAGGUGUAGCGGUGAAAUGC